rnacentral:rRNA from 1 species
GACGAACGCUGGCAGCGUGCCUAAUACAUGCAAGUAGAACGCUGAAGGAGGAGCUUGCUUCUCUGGAUGAGUUGCGAACGGGUGAGUAACGCGUAGGUAACCUGCCUGGUAGCGGGGGAUAACUAUUGGAAACGAUAGCUAAUACCGCAUAAGAGUAGAUGUUGCAUGACAUUUGCUUAAAAGGUGCAAUUGCAUCACUACCAGAUGGACCUGCGUUGUAUUAGCUAGUUGGUGGGGUAACGGCUCACCAAGGCGACGAUACAUAGCCGUCCUGAGAGGGUGAUCGGCCACACUGGGACUGAGACACGGCCCAGACUCCUACGGGAGGCAGCAGUAGGGAAUCUUCGGCAAUGGACGGAAGUCUGACCGAGCAACGCCGCGUGAGUGAAGAAGGUUUUCGGAUCGUAAAGCUCUGUUGUAAGAGAAGAACGAGUGUGAGAGUGGAAAGUUCACACUGUGACGGUAUCUUACCAGAAAGAGACGGCUAACUACGUG